CUAGAAUUGCUGACGACCUACUGGGAAUUUGGACGAAGUUUCUCGAGGCUAUAACACGACUGUACAUCCUCCUGGGAAGCCGGAAAGGAGGAGAACUUGGAGCAGCAGGGCGUGGAUCUUCUUAGCAGAGUGGAGCGGAGAUGGGAAAGGAAAUGUCUUCCCGUCAUUGUUCUGAUGGAAGAUGGGGAAGGUUGCCCGUGGCUCAGCAGGUAGAACUCAUUAACAGGGAGAGAAGUCCCCACCAGGGCUUGCCAACGGCCAAGUGUUACUCAUUCACCCGGCAAGAGUUCUGACAGGAGAGUCCAGAUGACAUGAUCCUCUACAUGGAAAACCCUAAAGACUCCACCAGAAAAUUACUAGAACUAAUCAAUGAAUAUAGUAAAGUUGCAGGAUAUAAAAUCAACACACAGAAAUCCCUUGCAUUCCUAUACACGAAUAAUGAGAAA
ensembl:lncRNA